AACAACUCAUUAUUUAGAUGGUAUUUUAUUUUAGGGCGAUUUUACCCCCUAAUGAGUUGUUUCAGUAGUUUAUUUGUCAAGUUACAGAUACUUAAUUAUAUUAAUUCUUAAAGUGUCUACAAGAUGGCGCGAAAAUAAAUUUUCAAAGUCAUUAAAAACGAAUCACUGCAUAAUAACAGUCUUAUCAAUAUAUAGUCAAUAAAUCGUGACGUACUGUGAAUAAUUCUCGUAUUAUUGAUAAGGCAACAUGCAUCAGUUAAAAACAAUUACUGGUGUAAAAUGAAAAGAAAAUUGUUUUAUAAAUAAAUAAGUUUACAAAAUAAAAGUAGGUAUUGUGGUUUGCAACAUGGCUUCGUUCACGAGACUUUUUUUCUUCAUUUUGAUUGUGAUUUGUGCAUUAACAGUGAGCCAAGGAAGGAUGAUCAAGGCUUCAUGCAGAACGGACUGUGGCCUCUACUGCAACACAAGGGGCAGGAGCACGGGAGUUUGCAGGAAUGGCAAAUGUUCCUGCGAUAGAGGUGUUGGACCUUAAAAUUUAUGAGCUAUUCGUGAUGUAAUCUUUGAUAUAUUUCCAGAAGAAAGAUAGCCAAAGUAUAUACGGUAUACAGAUAUUAAAACAUUAAACAAUAAUAUUAUGGUUCCUACAAUUUA